GGUUAAGCGACUAAGCGUACACGGUGGAUGCCCUGGCAGUCAGAGGCGAUGAAGGACGUGCUAAUCUGCGAUAAGCGUCGGUAAGGUGAUAUGAACCGUUAUAACCGGCGAUUUCCGAAUGGGGAAACCCAGUGUGAUUCGUCACACUAUCAUUAACUGAAUCCAUAGGUUAAUGAGGCGAACCGGGGGAACUGAAACAUCUAAGUACCCCGAGGAAAAGAAAUCAACCGAGAUUCCCCCAGUAGCGGCGAGCGAACGGGGAGCAGCCCAGAGCCUGAAUCAGUGUGUGUGUUAGUGGAAGCGUCUGGAAAGGCGUGCGAUACAGGGUGACAGCCCCGUACACAAAAAUGCACAUAUUGUGAGCUCGAUGAGUAGGGCGGGACACGUGGUAUCCUGUCUGAAUAUGGGGGGACCAUCCUCCAAGGCUAAAUACUCCUGACUGACCGAUAGUGAACCAGUACCGUGAGGGAAAGGCGAAAAGAACCCCGGCGAGGGGAGUGAAAAAGAACCUGAAACCGUGUACGUACAAGCAGUGGGAGCACGCUUAGGCGUGUGACUGCGUACCUUUUGUAUAAUGGGUCAGCGACUUAUAUUCUGUAGCAAGGUUAACCGAAUAGGGGAGCCGAAGGGAAACCGAGUCUUAACUGGGCGUUAAGUUGCAGGGUAUAGACCCGAAACCCGGUGAUCUAGCCAUGGGCAGGUUGAAGGUUGGGUAACACUAACUGGAGGACCGAACCGACUAAUGUUGAAAAAUUAGCGGAUGACUUGUGGCUGGGGGUGAAAGGCCAAUCAAACCGGGAGAUAGCUGGUUCUCCCCGAAAGCUAUUUAGGUAGCGCCUCGUGAAUUCAUCUCCGGGGGUAGAGCACUGUUUCGGCAAGGGGGUCAUCCCGACUUACCAACCCGAUGCAAACUGCGAAUACCGGAGAAUGUUAUCACGGGAGACACACGGCGGGUGCUAACGUCCGUCGUGAAGAGGGAAACAACCCAGACCGCCAGCUAAGGUCCCAAAGUCAUGGUUAAGUGGGAAACGAUGUGGGAAGGCCCAGACAGCCAGGAUGUUGGCUUAGAAGCAGCCAUCAUUUAAAGAAAGCGUAAUAGCUCACUGGUCGAGUCGGCCUGCGCGGAAGAUGUAACGGGGCUAAACCAUGCACCGAAGCUGCGGCAGCGACGCUUAUGCGUUGUUGGGUAGGGGAGCGUUCUGUAAGCCUGUGAAGGUGUACUGUGAGGUAUGCUGGAGGUAUCAGAAGUGCGAAUGCUGACAUAAGUAACGAUAAAGCGGGUGAAAAGCCCGCUCGCCGGAAGACCAAGGGUUCCUGUCCAACGUUAAUCGGGGCAGGGUGAGUCGACCCCUAAGGCGAGGCCGAAAGGCGUAGUCGAUGGGAAACAGGUUAAUAUUCCUGUACUUGGUGUUACUGCGAAGGGGGGACGGAGAAGGCUAUGUUGGCCGGGCGACGGUUGUCCCGGUUUAAGCGUGUAGGCUGGUUUUCCAGGCAAAUCCGGAAAAUCAAGGCUGAGGCGUGAUGACGAGGCACUACGGUGCUGAAGCAACAAAUGCCCUGCUUCCAGGAAAAGCCUCUAAGCAUCAGGUAACAUCAAAUCGUACCCCAAACCGACACAGGUGGUCAGGUAGAGAAUACCAAGGCGCUUGAGAGAACUCGGGUGAAGGAACUAGGCAAAAUGGUGCCGUAACUUCGGGAGAAGGCACGCUGAUAUGUAGGUGAAGUCCCUCGCGGAUGGAGCUGAAAUCAGUCGAAGAUACCAGCUGGCUGCAACUGUUUAUUAAAAACACAGCACUGUGCAAACACGAAAGUGGACGUAUACGGUGUGACGCCUGCCCGGUGCCGGAAGGUUAAUUGAUGGGGUUAGCGCAAGCGAAGCUCUUGAUCGAAGCCCCGGUAAACGGCGGCCGUAACUAUAACGGUCCUAAGGUAGCGAAAUUCCUUGUCGGGUAAGUUCCGACCUGCACGAAUGGCGUAAUGAUGGCCAGGCUGUCUCCACCCGAGACUCAGUGAAAUUGAACUCGCUGUGAAGAUGCAGUGUACCCGCGGCAAGACGGAAAGACCCCGUGAACCUUUACUAUAGCUUGACACUGAACAUUGAGCCUUGAUGUGUAGGAUAGGUGGGAGGCUUUGAAGUGUGGACGCCAGUCUGCAUGGAGCCGACCUUGAAAUACCACCCUUUAAUGUUUGAUGUUCUAACGUUGACCCGUGAUCCGGGUUGCGGACAGUGUCUGGUGGGUAGUUUGACUGGGGCGGUCUCCUCCUAAAGAGUAACGGAGGAGCACGAAGGUUGGCUAAUCCUGGUCGGACAUCAGGAGGUUAGUGCAAUGGCAUAAGCCAGCUUGACUGCGAGCGUGACGGCGCGAGCAGGUGCGAAAGCAGGUCAUAGUGAUCCGGUGGUUCUGAAUGGAAGGGCCAUCGCUCAACGGAUAAAAGGUACUCCGGGGAUAACAGGCUGAUACCGCCCAAGAGUUCAUAUCGACGGCGGUGUUUGGCACCUCGAUGUCGGCUCAUCACAUCCUGGGGCUGAAGUAGGUCCCAAGGGUAUGGCUGUUCGCCAUUUAAAGUGGUACGCGAGCUGGGUUUAGAACGUCGUGAGACAGUUCGGUCCCUAUCUGCCGUGGGCGCUGGAGAACUGAGGGGGGCUGCUCCUAGUACGAGAGGACCGGAGUGGACGCAUCACUGGUGUUCGGGUUGUCAUGCCAAUGGCACUGCCCGGUAGCUAAAUGCGGAAGAGAUAAGUGCUGAAAGCAUCUAAGCACGAAACUUGCCCCGAGAUGAGUUCUCCCUGACUCCUUGAGAGUCCUGAAGGAACGUUGAAGACGACGACGUUGAUAGGCCGGGUGUGUAAGCGCAGCGAUGCGUUGAGCUAACCGGUACUAAUGAACCGUGAGGCUUAACCUU
rnacentral:rRNA from 1 species